CUCCACUCAAUAAAAUCUUGCAUUCAUUCUCCAAGUCCACAUGCGAUCUGAUUUUUCAAGUACACUAGGGCAAGAACCCGGGAUACAGAAAGCCCUCUGUCUUUGUGAUAAGGCAGAGGGCCUAAUUGAGCUGAUUAACACAAGCCACCUGCAGAUGACAAAACUGAAGGAGACCUCUGUAACACAUGCCCACUGGGGCUUCGGGAGCUGUAAACACCCCGAACUGAAUUCCACACGCUGCUGUGGGGCCAGAGCCCAGAAACGCUCCCCACGACAUGCCCGUCUGCAUGCUCCCUCUAGGGGUUUGAGCAGCAGGGUACUGAGAAGCGAGCCAUGCCCCUGUAGCUUGCCCUGCAAGGGGGAUAAGGUUACUCCUCCUGUUUCAAUGUCUGGGUCAGAAAACUUGGUCUGGGAUGGCCCACUGAAUGGUUUGGAGGGCUAUUUCCCCUUCAGGAAGCACUAAGGUAUCGGCCAGGAGCCAAGAAGUCCUGAAGCACCUUUAUAAACCAGGAAAAAAAAUUGGGGGAGUAUCCCCUGGACGUGUGGAUGCCCAUCCUGAGGGAGGCUUUCAUUUGCUCAUCUCCCACUAGUGAGGCCAUGCCUUAUUGGGAUGAGAGGAUGCAGUUUCAUUUCAAGAAAUCACUCUUGGCUCUGUCUUGGUUCUGAAGAGGAAAGACAGGCAGGGUGACCUGUGCAGAGAGGUGAUGGUGGGGCUCUGCUGUGGGUUGAAUGGUGUCCCCUCAAAUUCACGUUCAUCAGUGUGGGGAAAAGCAAGAGAGAUCAGAUUGUUACUGUGUCUGUGUAGAAAGUAGACAUAAGAGACUCCAUUUUGUUCUGUACUAAGAAAAAUUCUUCUGCCUUGAGAUGCCGUUAAUCUGUAACCCUACCCCCAACCCUGUGCUCCCUGAGACAUGUGCUGUGUCAACUCAGGGUUAAAUGGAUUAAGGGCUGUGCAGGGUGUGCUUUGUUAAACAAACGCUUGAAGGCAGCAUGCUUGUUAAGAGUCAUCACCACUCCCUAAUCUCAAGUACCCAGAGACACAAAACACUGCGGAAGUCCACAGGGACCUCUGCCUGGAAAAGCCAGGUAUUGUCCAAGGUUUCUGCCCAUGUGAUAGCCUGAGAUAUGGCCUCCUGGGAAGGGAAAGACCUGACUGUCCCCCAGCCUGACACCCAUAAAAGGUCUGUGCUGAGGAGGAUUAGUGAAAGAGGAAGGCCUCUUUGCAGUUGAGAUAAGAGGAAGGCAUUUGUCUCCUGCUUGUCCCUGGGCAAUGGAACGUCUUGGUGUCAAGUCCGAUUGUAUAUUCCAUCUACUGAGAUAAGGGAAAACCACCUUAGGGCUGGAGGUGGGACAUGCUGGCAGCAAUACUGCUCUUUAAUGGAUUAAGAUGUUUAUGUGAAUGCACAUCAAAAGCACAGCACUUAAUUCUUUACUUUGUUUAAGAUGCAGAGAGCUUUGUUCACGUGUUUUCCUACUAACCUUCUCUUGGCUAUUACCCUAUUGUCCUGCCAAAUCCCCCUCUCCGGAAACGCCUGAUAAUUAUCAAUAAAUACUAAGGGAACUCAGAGGCCGGUGCCUGCAUGGGUCCUCAGUAUGCUGAACGCCCGUCCCCUGGGCCCUAUUUUCUUUCUCUAUACUUUGUGUCUCUUUCUUUUCCAGGUCUCUCAUUCCACCUAACGAGAAACGCCCACAGGUGUGGAGGGGCAACCCACCCCUUCAAUCAGGAACCUCAGAAUGUGACAUUUGGAAAUUGGGUGGUUGCAGAUGUAACGAAUUAACUUGGCGACAUACUGGAGUAAGGUGGGCCCUUCACACCAUAUGACUGGUAUCCUUAUAAGAAGAAAAGAAGAGACUCAAAGGGAAGACAGCUGUGUGCAGCUGGAAUGAUGCAUCUGAAGCCAAGGAAUGCCGCGUAUUGCCGGCCACCACCCAAAACUGGAAAAAGUCAGGAAGGAUUCUUCCCUAGAACCUUCAAAGGCAGCACAGCCCUGCCAACACCUGCAUUCAGACUCUGGCCUCCAGAACUGUGAGAGGAUGAAUUUCUGUUGUUUUCAGCCACCCAAGCUUAGGAAAUGGGUUGCAGCAGACUGGGAAUAAGACAGGCAGCCAGUCAGCCUCCGUGGAAUUCCCAGGCAGCUUGCAGGAGCCACAGCGGGCCCUGGGCUCUGAGAAGGUCUGAGGCCCAGCAGGCGCAGGGGCCUAAACUAUUUAUCGGCAAGGAGGAAGGAAGGUUCAUCCAGAACGUGGAUCCCCUUCCUCCUUCUCACACCUCACAAGGUCACAGCGAGGUGGCUGGGAGGAGAGCCAGGGACUUUUCACUGAGGUGUGUGGGAGACAGCUUGGCAGCCCUUGGACUCUGAAGGGAGGAGGUGGUGGGAAGGAGGGCAGCUUCGGAACUUCCCAGUUCCUGCUUGAUGACCUGUGUGUAAAGUAUUCCUGUUUAGGUCUCAAAAUCCUCUCAGAAACAUAAUUCUCAGAAAAUCCAGGCACCCAAUCCAGCUCCCUGGCCUUCCCUGAAAUCUGAAGUCAAAGGGGCUGAGCCAGCCUGCCCUGGGUGUCAGGCCUCUGAGCCCAAGCUAAGCCAUCAUAUCCCCUGUGACCUGCACGUACACAUCCAGAUGGCAGGUUCCUGCCUUAACUGAUGACAUUCCACCACAAAAGAAGUGAAAAUGAAAAGGCACACAGCGCUGGCACAGGCGCUGGGAGGCGCACAGGAGAC
rnacentral:lncRNA from 10 species